rnacentral:lncRNA from 1 species
UUCUCUUUAUAUCUUAAUAUAGAAACUUCUAACAGAGUUUGACACGGACAUUUGCCCCAGUGUGUCAUGCUCAGAGGAAUGACUCAUAGGUCCUAAUGAGAGAGCACACUUUGGAAAAGGAUGACUGACUUUUAGAAGGAAGACCCAAACAAACCGGUCAACAGAAAUGGAGUGCUGCUCUAGUGCCAUGCCCGAGACACCUGCCAAUAGUCCUCUGCCACUCGCCAUCCCUGCAUCAGCAUCUGGGACAUGGUCAUUACACUUGACGCUUGUCACUCCACCUCUCCUCACUCCUCAGCUCACAGAAAAGAGAUUUGUGAAAUACCAGCUCUGGUCUUGUUUGUAAACAUGGAAAGCAGAGUGCGGAGCAUAAAUUACCAGCAGACAACAUCUGGAUUCCAUACUAAGAACAAGCAUCUCACUACAAAG